rnacentral:lncRNA from 1 species
CACUUGGUGGUGCGCAACUGCCUGCAGCCGCAGGCCCGGUUGCUGAAGGAGUUGAGCGACUACCUGACCAACCUGCACAGUCUGGGGACCCGGAGCGAGGGCCUGGUCAACCUCCUCUUCAGCAAGCUCAGCCUGCACGAUGGGGGCAAGGAGAACUGAGCGUGGACUGUCCCGGGCCGGGCCCAGGGCUCCCCCCUGGUCUCCAGGCAGGCCACGCGCUCCUCCAUCACUGCUUUCAUGUCCCUUCUUUGUUGCACUGUUGCUUCCAAUAUAAAGUUACUUGGUUCUUAACGAAAAAAGAAAAAAAGAAGUCUUGCUCCGCAACUUGUUAAAAACUUGGGUAUGGUAAAAAAUAAUAUGGUGAAUGCUGCUGUCCAGUGUAUCCAAUGGAAAGGAUGGAUCAUAAAACCAUGGCAGUGUUUCCUCAUUGGCUUUAUUCAUCUGAUCAGAUACCAUGUGACUUCUGGCUCUUCCUCCAAGUCAAAAUGACCCUGAAAUCAAGAAGCCUUCACCAGCUUCUCAUGGUAUGAAGCCAUCACGAGUUGAAGGACUUCACCAGCUCUGACUCCUCAAACUUGGAUUCCCACCCCCAGAACCAUGAACUUAAUAACCUUUAUUCUUUAUAAAUUACCAAG